rnacentral:rRNA from 1 species
AUUGAACGCUGGCGGCAGGCCUAACACAUGCAAGUCGAGCGGAGUGGCGGACGGGUGAGUAAUGUAUAGGAAUGUGCCUGGUAGCGGGGGAUCACGACCGGAAACGGGCGCUAAUACCGCAUACUAUCAGAUGAGCCUAGAUCGGAUUAGCUAGUUGGUGGGGUAAAGGCCUACCAAGGCGCAGAUCCGUAACUGGUCUGAGAGGAUGAUCAGUCACACUGGGACUGAGACACGGCCCAGACUCCUACGGGAGGCAGCAGUGGGGAAUAUUGGACAAUGGGCGAAAGCCUGAUCCAGCCAUGCCGCGUGUGUGAAGAAGGUCUUCGGAUUGUAAAGCACUUUUAGCUGGGAGGCGUUACCAGCAGAAUAAGCACCGGCUAACUUCGUGCCAGCAGCCGCGGUAAUUC